UGGGGAAUAUUGCACAAUGGGCGCAAGCCUGAUGCAGCCAUGCCGCGUGUAUGAAGAAGGCCUUCGGGUUGUAAAGUACUUUCAGCGGGGAGGAAGGGAGUAAAGUUAAUACCUUUGCUCAUUGACGUUACCCGCAGAAGAAGCACCGGCUAACUCCGUGCCAGCAGCCGCGGUAAUACGGAGGGUGAAAGCGUUAAUCGGAAUUACUGGGCGUAAAGCGCACGCAGGCGGUUUGUUAAGUCAGAUGUGAAAUCCCCGGGCUCAACCUGGGAACUGCAUCUGAUACUGGCAAGCUUGAGUCUCGUAGAGGGGGGUAGAAUUCCAGGUGUAGCGGUGAAAUGCGUAGAGAUCUGGAGGAAUACCGGUGGCGAAGGCGGCCCCCUGGACGAAGACUGACGCUCAGGUGCGAAAGCGUGGGGAGCAAACA
rnacentral:rRNA from 1 species